rnacentral:snRNA from 1 species
UAAAAUCAGGCAUGGUGAUACCAUAAGCGUUAUUUUUGUUGCUCAGAGUUGCUUUGCCUAUUCACACCUUUUUAUUGUGAGUCCUCCUGAAACUGCAUGCUAGGUUGAAGAGAACAACCUUCUCCAAAUAGAAGAGGACUGGUCUUCGCUCAAGGAUAUACGAGGAGCUGUGUCCCUGCUAGAACCUUCAAACAAGCUCUUAAACCUUUAUGUGCUUCAAAAUGAAUUUUAGGAUUAUUUCUCUAU